UACGUAGGGCGCAAGCGUUGUCCGGAAUUAUUGGGCGUAAAGAGCUCGUAGGCGGUUUGUCGCGUCUGCUGUGAAAACCUAAGGCUCAACCUUGGGCUUGCAGUGGGUACGGGCAGACUAGAGUGCGGUAGGGGUGACUGGAAUUCCGGGUGUAGCGGUGAAAUGCGCAGAUAUCGGGAGGAACACCGGUGGCGAAGGCGGGUCUCUGGGCCGUACUGACGCUGAGGAGCGAAAGCGUGGGGAGCGAACAGG
rnacentral:rRNA from 1 species